UGGUAUAUCAUAAUCCUAUACACGCCCAAUUUCAGGAGUGGUUGGGACUUGACAGAGCGCCAACAGUGUGAGGAAAAUGGUGCUGAUGGUGAAGGGAGGAAUCGUGGAGCAGCGACGGCAUAUAUAACCACCGGUUGACGAUGGCGGUGUUGACGAUGUGUUGAUCAGCGGUGUGUUGACGAUGUAGAGAACAGCGGCCGGUAAUGAGACGCACUCCCAACGCCGACAUCUUUGGUGCUUGACGGCGUCAGAGAGUUGGUGUUGAUCGCAGAGGAUGUGAGGACUGGAAUUGCUAAGGAAGAAGGUGGCGCGUGCACGCGUGAAAAGCGCGUUAGAUCUACUCGCAAGAGCACCGGUAGCGUGCGCGCGUGGUUGGAUGGUUCAGUGGAAUUUGAGACUGAAUUUCAGGCAGUUUUCAAAACAAAGAUCAGAUGUACGGUUCAGAGGUUUCCAUGGUUUCGAGACUCCAGCACGGAAAUUUUGUAGAGUUGCUUGGAUACUGUGUUGGAGGGGAUAUCCGUGUUUUAGCACAUGAGUUUGCAACCAUGGGAUCUUUACAUGACAUUUUGCAUGGUAGAAAGGGAGUUCAAGGGGCACAACCAGGUCCUGUGCUUGACUGGAUGCAACGUGUGAGAAUUGCUGUUGAUGCUGCAAGGGGAUUGGAGUAUUUGCAUGAGAAGGUUCAACCUUCUAUAAUACACAGGGAUAUUAGAUCUAGCAAUGUGCUCCUGUUUGAGGACUUUAAGGCCAAGAUUGCAGAUUUCAACCUUUCAAAUCAGGCUCCUGACAUGGCUGCUCGCUUCAUUCUACAAGAGUUUUAGGAACCUUUGGAUAUCAUGCGCCAGAAUAUUGAUGAGUGCAAAGGUCCAAAGAAGAAUGUUUGUCCAAAGGGUUCUCUUUGCAACAACACAGGAGGUAGCUACUCAUGCAGGUGCCCACCUGGUUUCUACAGCGUUCAGGGAAAUGGAAUUGGAUGCAUACCGGACCAAGGAAGACCAUCAUUAGUUCUAAUUAUUGCUUUAGGCAUUGGAAUUGCUAUUGGUAUUCUGGUCUUAAUUGCUAUUGGUAUAUGGUGGCACCGGAAACUUGAAAAGAGAUGGAUGAAGAAAAUGAAACAGAAGUUCUUUAAGAGGAAUGGAGGUUUGAUAUUACAAAAAGAGAUCUCUUCAAGUGAAGAAACUGUGGCGAAAACAAAACUCGGCAUAAGAGUUGGAGAAGGCCACACAGAAUUAUAAUGGAAGUAGAGUCAUUGGCAAGGGAGGAUUUGGUACAGUCUACAAAGGGACGUUUUCAGAUGGUAGCAUGGUAGUGGUUAAGAUAUCUAACAAAGUUGAUGAAGCUCAAUUUGGUCAGUUCAUCAAUGAAAUUCUGAUCCUUUCCCAAAUAAACGAAAGACAGAUCGUGAUCUCUAGGCAACAACCUAACAACGUCACAAUGUGUCUCUGGUUUAUUUCUUAGCUAUUUUUUAUUAUUAUUUAUUAUUUAUUUAUUUAUAUAUUUUUGUCGA